rnacentral:lncRNA from 1 species
UUUUUUGUCAAUUAUUUUAUGUUGUUGUCAAAAUUUUGAAAUUAACAAUUUUCUGUUUUUAAAAUGCUGUCUUUCUCUUUGAAGAAUUAUCGUCAUGGCAGAAAAAAAAACGAAAAAGAUUUUGUCAAAAAGCCAGAAGAUAUUUUAGUCACGCCCCUACAUAUUUCAAUAAAUUUUUUGUGACAAGUCCUAAAAGAGUAUUAAAACAAUUUUGUUUUCUUAAUUUGUGUAAUAAAGUAAUAAUUAUUGUCAAUGAAUACUUAAACCAGAAAGGGAAGAAAAGAUAGAAGCUUAUAUGUUGUAUUUGUAGAUGGUCAGUUGGUGAAAUAUAAAUUAAUAUCUGGACAGUUUGGCCCUUUAAUUUAUUGAUUAAUUUGAUGAAUCUCCUCGUAUAUGGAACUGCAUCCACCCAAUGUUCCCUUGAAUGCAUGUAUUUUCAUUUGGAUAUCUUAGCCACACACCGACAACCUUGAACUUGAUGUUCAGGGAUAUCGUCCUUUUAUGAAUAUGUCUUACUCGGUGAAUCUCACCUCCAAUUAUGGAAGGUGCAUUAAUUGGAGAGAUGAAUUUUUGCAUCAAGGUCUAUGCCAAUGACUUUGUGGAACAUCGCUCAGUCCACAAAAGCGUCAGUUGAAGUCCAUCCACAAUUUUCAAAAGAUCAAUAUCUUCAAUUAAAUUUUAAUCAUUCUAUAUAAAAUUAAAAAAACAAAACAAUCAGGAGUUGAAGUAAGCUUAUAUAUAUUCAGUAAUCCGUUGCAUUUUUCAAUACAAUUGUUGGUAAUAAUGUGCAAAUAGUUGGUGAAAAUGGAAGCUCAUUAUUUUUGUUUCUAAAAUUAAAAAUCUUGAACGCUUAAAUGGAAAAGUACUCUAAAUUGUUAAAUCCCUUACCGAAUUUGAAUCGACAAUUUAAAAUCUAUUUAGACAAAAAAUCCUACAGUUACAUUCAUCAAUGUCGAUCAACCUUCAUUUAAAGUUAUUAUAAGGAAGACACUGUGCCAAUCAUCUCGAAGUUUGUAAGUCUUGAGGUGGAAAAUCUUGCUUGGCUGAUGGCUAACUAUCCUGAGAACAACUAUGUGCCAUACAGCCUUGAAGACAUAUAACUGCCUUCUAGGACAAUACCUUCUGGUCUUCUUCCAGUCCUGAUCUCAAUCCCCUCGACUUCAGGGGUUGGAGCGUCUUAGAGGUCAAGGUUGGAAAGGUAUCACACAGAAAUGUGGAGGAGCUCAAGACCAGCAUAAAAAAACAAUGUCCCCCGAUUAUAUUGUGUCAACUUGCCCCAAGUUUCGACCUCUUGUGGAGGGUGUGAUAGAAACUAGAGACGACCGUAUUGAAUAAUUCUUGCCAAGAUUGAUUUCGAAAAGUUUUUUUUUUAAUAACAACAUUUUUCAUUAUACUUUUGUAAUACAAAGUUAUUAAGGUUUUUGUUUUGCUUCUUAAUAGCAGAAAAUUUUCAUGUUGGACUCUGUACAAACCAUAUUUAUAAGACUAUACUUUUGUAUGUAUCGAAAGUAUCGAGAGAUCAGGGGACGAAGUGACUUUAAAAGGGAAUAAUAUUCUAAUAAAUUCAAUAUAUUUUACGCCAUAUUUUAACAAAUAUAUAAUAAAUUGAACUAAUUUUUGAUACUAUACUAUAGUGACAAGAAUAUUGUGAGAGAAAAAAAUUAAACUUUUUCUUUUCUCUGUUUUAAAAGGAGCCUCAUUAUCACAUUUUACACCUAUCUCAAUUAAUUACAUUAUAUUAUGAAACAAUGAGUAUAUUUGUAUUUUAUACCUCUUCACAAAUUUACAACCUAUUUUUAAUUAAUAUUAUCGGUCAAAUUAUAUUAUAAGAAUAUAAUUAAAUAUGUGAGGCUUAUAUAUUGUAUGAUAAAUUUGAGGAGAAUACUUCUGUCUUUUUAUGUAAAGAAAAUGCCUUUUUUGAUCAAUAAAUAAUUCAUUCAUUCAUUCUAUAAUUUGAAUAAAAGUUA